rnacentral:pre_miRNA from 1 species
AACAAAUCAACUUUUUAGUUUUUAGAUACAAUGUUUAACUCUUCGUCUUAUUCAAAAAAAUUACGAUUAAUAAUUUUAUUUUUAUUAGAUGAUAAAAUAUGAGUAGUACUUUAUGUGUGACUAAUUUUUUAAAAUUUCUUGAAAAUUUUUCAAAUAAGACGAAUGAUCAAAUGCUCGACAUAAAAACC